rnacentral:rRNA from 1 species
AACGUAGACGAAAGUUACGCUAAUACCGGCAUAUUCUGUGAGCAGGAAAGCAGGGGAUCGCAAGACCUUGCGCUGAUUGAGCGGCCGAUAUCAGAUUAGCUAGUUGGUGAGGUAAAGGCUCACCAAGGCGACGAUCUGUAGCGGGUCUGAGAGGAUGAUCCGCCACACUGGAACUGAGACACGGUCCAGACUCCUACGGGAGGCAGCAGUGGGGAAUUUUGGACAAUGGGCGCAAGCCUGAUCCAGCCAUGCCGCGUGAGUGAAGAAGGCCUUCGGGUUGUAAAGCUCUUUCGGCCGGGAAGAAAUCGCACAGGUUAAUACCCUGUGUGGAUGACGGUACCGGAAUAAGAAGCACCGGCUAACUACGUG